rnacentral:rRNA from 1 species
GCACGUCUAAGUACUCGCCUUGUCUAUUAAAGUGAAACCGCGAAUGGNNNANNAAAUNAGUUAUGGUUCACUAGAUCGUACCUCAUCCUACUCGGAUAACUGUGGUAAUUCUAGAGCUAAUACAUGCAACUAGGCCCUGCCCGGCCUCCUUCACGGGUGGUCGGAAAGGGCGCCAUUAUCAGCCCAAAACCGACCGGGUUGCCCCUUGGGGCUCCCGUCCUUAUACCCUUUGACGACUCUGGAUAACCUUCUAGCGGAUCGCCGGUAAACUAGGUCGGCCGGGCGGUGACGUCCGCGUCCGACCUACGGCGACUAGUCUUUCGAAUGUCUGCCUUAUCAACUGUCGACGGUAGGUUAGACGCCUACCGUGGUCGUAACGGGUGACGGGGAAUCAGGGUUCGAUUCCGGAGAGGGAGCCUGAGAAACGGCUACCACAUCCAAGGAAGGCAGCAGGCACGCAAAUUACCCAAUCCCUGCACGGGGAGGUAGUGACGAAAAAUAACGAUACGGGACUCUUAACGAGGCCUCGUAAUCGGAAUGAGUCCGCUCUAAAUCCUUUAACGAGGAUCUAUCGGAGGGCAAGUCUGGUGCCAGCAGCCGCGGUAAUUCCAGCUCCGAUAGCGUAUAUUAAAGUUGCUGCGGUUAAAAAGCUCGUAGUUGGAUUUGGGUUUUCGGGCCGGCGGGCCGCCGCCUUCGAGCGGCGCGUUUCCCGCCGCGCCCCCGGAACCGCACGGUCGCAGAGGCCCCCGCGGUGCUCUUGAGUGAGUGUCCGCGGUCUCGGGUCGCCGAACGUUUACUUUGAAAAAAUUAGAGUGCUCCAGGCAGGCCGGUAAAGCGUUUUUAAACCCGCGCCUGAAUAGUCACGCAUGGAAUAAUGAAAGAGGACUGGUGGUCCUAUUUUGUUGGUUUUCGGGAUUUUCC